AAUCAAAACUUAAAGGAGGUUGAU
rnacentral:miRNA from 1 species